rnacentral:rRNA from 1 species
AUUGAACGCUGGCGGCAGGCCUAACACAUGCAAGUCGAGCGGAUGAGGGGUGCUUGCACCCUGAUUCAGCGGCGGACGGGUGAGUAAUGCCUAGGAAUCUGCCCGCUAGUGGGGGACAACGUUUCGAAAGGAACGCUAAUACCGCAUACGUCCUACGGGAGAAAGUGGGGGCUCUUCGGACCUCACGCUAUCGGAUGAGCCUAGGUCGGAUUAGCUAGUUGGUGGGGUAAAGGCCCACCAAGGCGACGAUCCGUAACUGGUCUGAGAGGAUGAUCAGUCACACUGAAACUGAGACACGGUCCAGACUCCUACGGGAGGCAGCAGUGGGGAAUAUUGGACAAUGGGCGAAAGCCUGAUCCAGCCAUGCCGCGUUUGUGAAGAAGGUCUUCGGAUUGUAAAGCACUUUAAGUCGGGAGGAAGGGCUGCAGGUUAAUACCUUGCAGCCUUGACGUUACCGACAGAAUAAGCACCGGCUAACUUCGUGCCAGCCGCCGCCGUAACAC